CGGGACGGGUGAGUAAUGUCUGGGAAACUGCCUGAUGAGGGGGGAUAACUACUGGAAACGGGAGCUAAUACCGCAUAACGUCGCAAGACCAAAGAGGGGGACCUUCGGGCCUCUUGUCAUCGGAUGUGCCCAGAUGGGAUUAGCUAGUAGGUGGGGUAACGGCUCACCUAGGCGACGAUCCCUAGCUGGUCUGAGAGGAUGACCAGCCACACUGGAACUGAGACACGGUCCAG
rnacentral:rRNA from 1 species